UUCUGGUUGAUCCUGCCAGAGGCGACCGCUAUUGGAGUUCGAUUAAGCCAUGCGAGUAGAAAGAAAUUAGAUUCUUUGCAUACUGCUCAGUAACACGUGGAUAACCUGCCCUACACUGGGGGAUAAUCUCGGGAAACUGAGGAUAAUACCCCAUAGACCACUACGCCUGGAACGGUGAGUGGUUGAAAGCUCAGGCGGUGUAGGAUGGGUCUGCGGCGUAUCAGGUCGUAGGGGGUGUAAUGGACCUCCUAGCCAUCGACGCGUACGGGUUGUGGGAGCAAUAGCCCGGAGACGGAUUCUGAGACACGAAUCCGGACCCUACGGGGUGCAGCAGGCGCGAAAACUUCACACUGCAGGAAACUGUGAUGAGGGAACUCCAAGUGACUGCACAUUGUGUAGCCUUUUCUUGAAUCUUAAUAGUUCUUGGAAUAAGGGCUGGGAAAGACCGGUGCCAGCCGCCGCGGUAAUACCGGCAGCUCGAGUGGUCGUCGCUUUUAUUGGGCCUAAAACGUCCGUAGCCUGUUUGGUAAAUCUGUGGGUAAAUCAACGAGCUCAACUCGUUGAAUUCUGCAGAGACUGCCAGACUAGGGACCGGGAGAGGUAUGAGGUACUCUGGGGGUAGGGGUAAAAUCCUGUCAUCCUCAGAGGACCACCUGUUGCGAAGGCGUCAUACUGGAACGGAUCCGACGGUCAGGGACGAAGCCUAGGGGCACGAACCGGAUUAGAUACCCGGGUAGUCCUAGGUGUAAACGCUGUGGAUUUGGUGUGUGGGGUCCGCAAUGGGCCCCAUGUGCCGGAGUGAAGAUGUUAAAUCCACUGCCUGGGGAGUACGGUCGCAAGGCUGAAACUUAAAGGAAUUGGCGGGGGAGCACUGCAACGGGAGGAGCGUGCGGUUUAAUUGGAUUCAACGCCGGGA
rnacentral:rRNA from 1 species